rnacentral:rRNA from 1 species
CAAAGACGGAAAUAGCUCGCCGAAAGGCUAGGUAAUAUCCGAUGGUCCAAGUUGCCGUAAAGGUUUACUUGGUAAAACUACGGUGCUUUGAGAAGGGCUUAUGUCCUAUCAGCUUGUUGGUGAGGUAAAGGCUCACCAAGGCUAAGACGGGUAGCUGGCGUGAGAGCGCGGACAGCCACAGUGGAACUGCGACACGGUCCACACUCCUACGGGAGGCAGCAAUUAGGAAUCUUGCGCAAUGGGGGCAACCCUGACGCAGCGACGCCGCGUGGAGGAGGAAGGUCUUCGGAUUGUAAACUCCUUUUAUGUGGGAAGAAUAAAUGACUGUACCACACGAAUAAGUACCCGCUAACUACGUGCCAGAAGCAUCGGUGAUACGUAGGGUACAAACGUUAUCCGGAUUUAUUGGGCGUAAAGAGAUGCGUAGGCGUUUUGAAAAGUCUUAUGUCAAAUCCCUCUGCUCAACAGAGGACAGGCAUCGGAUACUAUCAGAAUUGAGAGAGGAAGGGGUGAGCGGAAUUUCCGGUGGAGCGGUAAAACGCGUUGAUAUCGGAAGGAAACACCAGAGGCGUAGGCGGCUCACUGGUCCUUUUCUGACGCUAAGGCUCGAAAGCAUGGGGAGCAAAACGGAUUAGAUACCCGUGUAGUCCAUGCUGUAAACGAUGAAUGCUAGGUGUUUGAACACAACUGUAGUACUCCUUCGGGAGUACAAUGGAAGUGUUGAGUACCGUAGUUAACGCGAUAAGCAUUCCGCCUGGGGAGUACGGCUGCAAGGCUAAAACUCAAAUGAAUUGGCGGGGUCCCGCACAAGCGGAGGAGCGCGUGGUUUAAUUCGAUGGUAAUCGUAGAACCUUACCAGGGUUUGACAUGUAACUGCAAAGCCUAUGAAAGUAGGAAGCCUUCGAGGGUGUUACACAGGUGCUGCAUGGCCGUCGUCAGCUCGUGUCGUGAGAUGUAGGGUUAAGUCUCGAAACGAGCGCAACCCCUAUCCUAUGUUAUACGUGUCUUAGGAAACUGCCUCGGUGAAACGGGGAGAAAGGUGGGGAUGACGUCUGGUCCGCAUGGCCCUUAUAUCCUGGGCGACACACGCGCUACAAUGGCCGAUACAAUGGGUAGCCAAACCGUAAGGUGGAGCUAAUCCUAUAAAGUCGGUCUCAGUUCGAAUUGAGGUCUGCAACUCGACCUCAUGAAGUUGGAUUCGCUAGUAAUCGCCGAUCCCCCAUGCUGCGGUGAAUACGUUCUCGGGACUUGCACACACCGCCCGUCAAGUCAUGGAAGUGGUCAGUACCCGAAGG